rnacentral:lncRNA from 1 species
CAUAUACAUUUUUCUGAUUUGUGUUAAGAAUGAAAUAAAUUAAAUAAUAAAAGAAUUAAUUAAAAAGAAAAAAGAAAAUGGAAACAGAAGCUCGUCUCUCUCACUCUCUCUCACCUUACGAGCUCAAACCUUCAGCAUCUCACUCGCAUCUUUCCAUCUCUCACACGAAUCCCUCUCUCGCUCUCAACAAACCCCUCUCAAUCACUCUCAACUCUCACAAUAUUUUCAACAGCAAGCACAUGAGAAAG